CUGUCCGCGUCCUCGUGCACACCUGCAGGCACUUUGGCUCCUGGCGAAGUUUUGCCGCCUCCCCCCCCCCACCCCACCAAAGCCUGGUCAAGACCGCAUGGAACCGGUCAAGAGGACAGGGGAGGAGGGAGGUGAGCAUGCCCCAGGGCCUGGCCCGGCCCGCCCGACCCCAACAGGCCCAGACUGAGCUGUGAUGAGGACAGCCUCGGGGGCUCCUGGGUCCAGCCCUCUGAUUUCCCCAGGAGCCAGUCCUCGCUGUGGGCUCCGCCCCGCAGGGCUUGGACCGCCCUCUGAGCUCCAGGCCCGUUGGGGGCCAUGUGGGGUGGGAUUCAAGGUGGAGGCUGCCUGGGUGGGACCCUGCCCCUCCCAUGCUCGCCACAGGGUUCUCAGGGGGUCGGCAGGCUCCAGAAGCCCUGGGCUGGGGCUACCCCCCCUAGUGUCUGUGCACUGGUUACAAAGAACCAAAUACCAGUUGUAACUCCAUCCAACUUUUUAAACAAGUCUGUUUAUUGAAAGAAUCUGAAAAUAGUAAUAAGGCUUUCGACAACAUUUAACAAAUUUUCAAGAUAUUAACAAUAUGAAACAUUAAGAAUUACUUCAAAAAAUCCCAAGUUUUCUAAAUCACUCCAAAUCAUGCUCCUUUCAGACUUGCUUUUUGUUUUUUUUUUUUGUCUAAAUGAACGACCUGAAUUCCGAACGCCACUCUCUUUUGGACCUAAAGCCAAGUUUUGGUUCGGCCCCCUCUCUGCCCCAGGGAGGCCGGGUGGCGGUGAGGGCCCACCUCCCUUUCGAGCCCCACGCCGACUGCCGAGCUCCACAGACGCUGAACCACGGACGCGGCAGAUGCGGGCACCCAGGCUGCACAGCCCGCCGCGCGGAGACCCCCGGCCGAAGGUGGUGGCACCCAGGGCCCCGGAGCCUUUCUAGCAGCUCCAGAAUGAGGCCUGUGACCCUCCAGGAGAGCAAGGCCCAGCCCCGUCCCUUCCGUUCUUGCCACCUUAACAGGUUAACGAUGUAGCUCAAAGAGAAAUCAGUCACUCCGAAACAGACGCCCGACUGGAGGACAUCUGUCAGGCAACAACCAGCAGGGGCCGGAGCCACACGCACACGCCCCGCGCGGCCUGAGGGGCCACUGGAAUGCUGGCAGUUUCCUCGCAAGCCCAAGACGCCCAGGGAGAAGCGAGAGCAGAAAGGACACAAAACGUCCCAGCACCGCCUUCCUCGCUGACCAGUGGCUUCCCGAGGGAGAAGCACCCUUCGCUCCUGGACCGUCACCUCUACGGCGACGAUGCUGAACACAGUGGUCCCAGCACACGGCGUCACACAGAACGCGUGCAAACAUCGGAACAAGGCUCCAUUUCCCAACAGUACAAAUCCCCUUCCCUCUUAAAUCUUCAGAGUGUACAAUAAAAUCUGUACAUAGCAGUUCAGAAA